UAGGGAAUCUUCGGCAAUGGACGAAAGUCUGACCGAGCAACCCCGCGUGAGUGAAGAAGGUUUUCGGAUCGUAAAACUCUGUUGUUAGAGAAGAACAAGGACGUUAGUAACUGAACGUCCCCUGACGGUAUCUAACCAGAAAGCCACGGCUAACUACGUGCCAGCAGCCGCGGUAAUACGUAGGUGGCAAGCGUUGUCCGGAUUUAUUGGGCGUAAAGCGAGCGCAGGCGGUUUCUUAAGUCUGAUGUGAAAGCCCCCGGCUCAACCGAGGGGGGUCAUUGGAAGCUGGGGGACUUGAGUGAAGAAGAGGAGAGUGUAAUUCCAUGUGUAGCGGUGAGAUGCGUAGAUGUAUGGAGGAACACCAGUGGCGAAGGCGGCUCUCUGGUCUGUAACUGACGCUGAGGCUCGAAAGCGUGGGGAGCAAACAGG
rnacentral:rRNA from 1 species